GAUGAACGCUGGCGGCGUGCCUAAUACAUGCAAGUCGAGCGAACAGACGAGGAGCUUGCUCCUCUGACGUUAGCGGCGGACGGGUGAGUAACACGUGGAUAACCUACCUAUAAGACUGGGAUACUUCGGGAAACCGGAGCUAAUACCGGAUAAUAUAUUGAACCGCAUGGUUCAAUAGUGAAAGACGGUUUUGCUGUCACUUAUAGAUGGAUCCGCGCCGCAUUAGCUAGUUGGUAAGGUAACGGCUUACCAAGGCGACGAUGCGUAGCCGACCUGAGAGGGUGAUCGGCCACACUGGAACUGAGACACGGUCCAGACUCCUACGGGAGGCAGCAGUAGGGAAUCUUCCGCAAUGGGCGAAAGCCUGACGGAGCAACGCCGCGUGAGUGAUGAAGGUCUUCGGAUCGUAAAACUCUGUUAUUAGGGAAGAACAAAUGUGUAAGUAACUAUGCACGUCUUGACGGUACCUAAUCAGAAAGCCACGGCUAACUACGUG
rnacentral:rRNA from 1 species